rnacentral:lncRNA from 1 species
GCCACAAGUCACAUACUCUCCCUGUGUGCAAAUGCUUUAUACCUUUUUCCAAAAAAAACCCCAGUGACCUCACAGCUCUUUGCCCUUCCUCCUCAAUCAGAGUCAGCCUCUGUAGGCCUCCUCUUAGCUCAUUUAAACCUCUCUCAGCUGAGGCCUACUGCACGACCUGAUGAAUCCCCAGGUGGGACAGUCUCUGGAUGACCUUUCUUUCAGUCUCGGCUUGACACUUUAUCUCCAUAUUCGUUCCUAUGUUUUCCUGGCAACUCAGUUCACACUGAUGCACAAGAAGGGACAGAAUGCUCACAGGAAUGGCCACUCCUAGAUGCAAGCAAUGACAAGUAUUGACAAGGAUGCAGAAAUAAGAAGCUCAAGUGUUCUGAAUAAAAUAUAAAAUGC